UUGAGUAAAAGGGAGCUCCCUUCAGUCCAAGCAAAGACAAAAAAAGGAAGAAAUUUAUCUCCCGCAUCAUUCACACAUUCACAAUAGCGUCGUAUAUCUAUCGUGUUUGAAUGAAUGAGUCGGCAGCUAAUUCGAACCCUUUACUCAUCCAUGAGUGGACUGAAGGAAGCUCUCUUACACUAAUCU